AAUUUCAGUGGUUGGUCCCUCUGGUUGAGAACCUCACACAGUACACAGCUGGCCUAGCCAGAAGACUUCGUCUGAUGGAGGGAUCUGUACCAACUGUCCAUGGGAAGUCACUCUGUAGGGUCCUUCUGCACUGAUUGAGGAUGUGAGGAAGAAAAUGCCCAUCCAUCUGGCGUCCACUAUCAGAUCUCACUUGUAAGAUAACACCUAACAACUUAUUCAGACGUGGGCAUUCUCAAGCUUUCCCCUGAGCUAGGCCGAUUGUUCCACCCAUUCAACUGCUACUCAGCUGUAUAUCCUCCAUCACUAGUGAUGUUGGUGAUGCCACAACACAAACAGAAGCAGAUGCCUCCUCCGACACAUGUGAAGUCAGCCAUUGCCUCUUUUUAAACUUCUGCUGAUGCAGCAUUGCCGAGUUGCAUCACAGUGCACUCGGAGGAAAGCGCAGCGACUUCAAUACAUCAGCUCACAGACGCCUUGUGCUGACUGACAUCACCCUAGGAGUGAUGAGGGGAAGAGCACUAUCUACACACCCAGAAAGAGCAAGGUCAAUUUUGCUCUCUCUGGGCUCUGGCAGCUGAUGGCA
rnacentral:lncRNA from 1 species